rnacentral:lncRNA from 1 species
AGCGCUUUGUCUCCCUAAGUGGCUAACUGAGGUGUGAAAGGGUCUGUGGUGAGUGGACAAAGGAGCACAAAGGGCAAAAGAUGAGGAAAUGGAGGCUUCAAGGUCAAACCCCUUGCCCAGAGACAUGCAGCAGAAAGUGAUGAAGCUGAGAUUUGAACUUGCACCUGUCUGCCUGCAAAUCCCAUCUCUUCCUGCUGUGCCAGAGACAGCAGAAGGGCCCACGGCUGUGUAGAUGUGGCCUAUUAGCCUCUCAAGUCUAGAGCAAGCCCCUCAGUGUGGGGCCCCUCCCUAGCCGCACUUCCUGCCACACCUGUCCUUCAAGCAGCCGCCUUUCUUUAGAACCCCACGUCUACUGUGGUGAUCACUCUGCAUAGCUGCUUUAGAAACAUAUGAAGAUAACAGAAGGAUCUCAUCUGCAACCCAGAGCUCUCUGUGCCUGGUGGUGACUCCCAAGAAGCUCCCAUAAGGAAGAGGUCCCUCAAAGAACACACUGAACACAGUGGACCCUCUGCUGCC